rnacentral:rRNA from 1 species
ACGCUCGACACCUACGAGAGGCAGCAGUGGGGAAUAUUGCACAAUGGGGGAAACCCUGAUGCAGCGACGCCGCGUGAAGGAAGAAGUAUUUCGGUAUGUAAACUUCUAUCAGCAGGGAAGAAAAUGACGGUACCUGACUAAGAAGCCCCGGCUAACUACGUGCCAGCAGCCCGGUAAUCUGAGCGGGCUGGCAAGGC